CUGCAGCUCACCUGUGGACUCCACCAUGAUUGUUUGACUAUAAAAAGAGAAACUGUGUCUCUGCUGCUCCGAACUAUUCACACUUGAAUGAGAACAUGAAGUGACGCUGCAGUGGAUCUUCCCUCAUCCUUAAAGUGCAGCUGUGGAUAAUCUGUUGAAGCCGUCCUCAUCUGCCAUCUCUGAGUUUCUCCCGCUGACCUUAUGUUCCAGAACCCACAUAUUUCAUGUCAUCUGGUGGAGCUUUAUCAAAGAUGUGUCAGCUUCAGUGUGAAAUAUGAUGCUGUUGACUAAAUCACAAGAAACCCAAGACCCAGCCUGUUUGUUUGAGGGAUAAUUAGAUGCCAACUGAAUCAGAGUAAACUCAGCUUCUCUGGGAUCUUUACAAAAUAAGCUCAUUAUGAGACUCUGAUGUUGAAACCCACAGAAAAGAGAAGAUGGAUGCUGUGAAAAUAUCCUGCUGGACUCUGGAGUGUGUCUGCCUCCUGCUGUCUGUAACUGCAGAUCAGAAAAUCAUCACAGCCGAGUCUGGACAGAACAUCACGCUGCCGUGUCGAGCUCCAAAUGAGAACAAAACCAUCACAGUAGUAGAGUGGAGCAGAACUGAUCUGGAGUCAGAACAUGUGCUUUUGUACCGAGAUGAACAGUUUGAACCAGAAGAGCAGCAUCCAUCUUUUAAGAACCGGGUGGAUCUGCAGGACAGACAGAUGAAGGAUGGAGACGUGUCUCUGAUUCUGAAGAAUGUGACGACUGCUGAUAGUGGAACAUACGAGUGUCGAGUCUUCAUGGGAAAAAAACGACGCAGGAAAAGAGCUAAGCUGAAUACUGACCCCAUCAGUGUCAUCAGCCUGAGUGUUGUUGUUCCUCCAGGUCAGACAAGAAGAUCUGUUGGAGUGAUGCUCAGUGUGUCACUUCUUGUUGCUGCUGUCAUUGGUUUUCUGAUCUACAAACAAGGAUCACCAACCUUGUCCUUGAACUGUCUCAGAGGUGUUCCAGCUAAUUCGUGAGCCUCCUGCUGCUGUUUCAGCUUCUCAGAGGUGACACAGAUCAUCCAGUGGAGAGACAGACGAGGACAUCCUGAAUUUGUUGUUCAGCAUCUUUGUGAAAGUCUUGAACAUUUUCCUUUGGACAUGUUGGACUUUAACUAAAGAUGCUUUCAGUCCAAAAGUCUUUUUCUUCCUGUUGUUUGGUGCAAAGCGUCGACGAUCGUCUAGAAAACAUUUUCAUCUUUAAUCCUGGUUUCAGGUGAAAGUUUGUCUUUAGCUCCUCACUGUCCUGAUGAGCUGCAUGAAC
ensembl:lncRNA